rnacentral:rRNA from 1 species
CGGACGGGUGAGUAACGCGUAAAGAACUUGCCCUUUAGACUGGGAUAACAAGAGGGAAACUUCUGAUAAUACUGGAUAAGUUAGUAUAUCGCAUGAUAUGCAAAUGAAAGCUACGGCACUAAAGGAGAGCUUUGCGUCCUAUUAGCUAGUUGGUAAGGUAAGAGCUUACCAAGGCGAUGAUAGGUAGCCGGCCUGAGAGGGUGGACGGCCACAAGGGGACUGAGAUACGGCCCUUACUCCUACGGGAGGCAGCAGUC